CUCAAAGGAAUUGACGGGGCCCGCACAAGCGGUGGAGCAUGUGGUUUAAUUCGACGCAACGCGAAGAACCUUACCAGGGCUUGACAUCCCCUGACCGCGUAUGAAAGUACGUUUCACCCUCGGGUGACAGGGAGACAGGUGGUGCAUGGUUGUCGUCAGCUCGUGUCGUGAGAUGUUGGGUUAAGUCCCGCAACGAGCGCAACCCUUAUUGCUAGUUACCAUCAUUGAGUUGGGGACUCUAGCGAGACUGCCAGCGAUAAGCUGGAGGAAGGUGGGGAUGACGUCAAAUCAUCAUGCCCCUUAUGACCUGGGCUACAAACGUGAUACAAUGGCUGGAACAAAGGGAGGCGAAGGGGUGACCUGGAGCGAAACCCAAAAAUACAGUCUCAGUUCGGAUUGAAGUCUGCAACUCGACUUCAUGAAGUCGAAAUCGCUAGUAAUCGCGGAUCAGAACGCCGCGGUGAAUACGUUCUCGGGGUUU
rnacentral:rRNA from 1 species